rfam:Lachancea fermentati genome assembly, chromosome: G
AUCCUUAUGCACGGGAAAUACGCAUAUCAGUGAGGAUUCGUCCGAGAUUGUGUUAUUGCUGGUUGAAAUUUAAUUUAACCUGACCCCUCCUCAUGGCACAACGUGUCUUUUUACACUAUUGCUAUGUAGGGAAUUUUUGGAAUGAACUUUUUUUC